AUGAGUUGCAUAAGCUGGAACUGCCCGGGGCUUGGGAACCCUGAGGCAGUUUGCAAGCAUCGCAAUGUGGUGAAGUAAGAAGGGCCCGUGCUGGUUUUAGUCAUGGAGACGAAGAUCAGAGGAAAACGAGUGGAGGAUCUCUGGCAUACUUUAGGGUUUGCAGGCAGUUAUGCAGUGGGCAGUGACAGCAUGAGCGGAGGUAUAGGGCUGUUCUGGUCUAAAGACAUUAAUUUUGAGCUGAAAAACUUCAGCAGUAGUCAUAUUGAUGUGGUGGUAAGUACAGACACCACGGGGUCGAAUACGUGGAGGUUUACAGGUUUCUAUGGAGCGCCAAGAGUAUCCGAUCGUCAUCACAGCUGGCAUUUCCUUAGAACACUCCACAACAUUCCUCAUGGUGCAUGGAUGUGUGUUGGUGACUUCAACGAGACUCUAUACCCCAAUGAACAUUUCAACAAUUCUGCUCGCCCCGAGCGACAGAUGAGGGAGUUUCGUGAGGUUACAAACGAGUGUGCUCUUCAAGAUUUAGGUUGGUCAGGUGUGGCUUAUACAUGGGACAAUCGUCAGUCUGGAGAUGCCAAUGUCAAAGCAAGGCUCGAUAGGGCCUUUGCUAAUGAGGAGUUUCGACAAAGGUUUGAACAUAUAAGGGUUAGGCAUGUGUGUGCUGUGGAGUCUGACCAUUGUUUUGUCAUAACUGAGUUUAGAAACCACGCAUUUCCACAUAGGCCACCGGGUUCCAAACAGUUCUGCUACGAAAACGUCUGA
rnacentral:rRNA from 1 species